CCUGCGGUGGUGAAAUGGUUGCCAUGAUGGACUUCAGAUCCUUCUGUCCUAGGUUUAAAUCCUGCUGUAGAC
rnacentral:tRNA from 1 species